GGGAGUUUAGCUCAGCUGGUAGAGCGCUACCCUUACAAGGUAGAUGCCGGGGGUUCGAGCCCCUCAACUCCCACCA
rnacentral:tRNA from 2 species